AUACUACUCCCUCCGUUCCAAAUUACUUAUCGCAGAAAUGGAUGUAUCUAGAACUAAAAUACAUCUAGAUACAUCCAUACCUGCGACAAGUAAUUCGGAACGGAGGGAGUAGGAA
rnacentral:pre_miRNA from 1 species